rnacentral:rRNA from 1 species
GACGAACGCUGGCGGCGUGCUUAACACAUGCAAGUCGAACGGAAAGGCCCCUUUGGGGGUACUCGAGUGGCGAACGGGUGAGUAACACGUGAGUAACCUGCCCUUGACUUCGGGAUAACUUCAGGAAACUGGGGCUAAUACCGGAUAGGAAUCCUUGCUGCAUGGUGGGGGUUGGAAAGCUUCGGCGGUUUUGGAUGGACUCGCGGCUUAUCAGCUUGUUGGUGGGGUAGUGGCUUACCAAGGCUUUGACGGGUAGCCGGCCUGAGAGGGCGACCGGCCACAUUGGGACUGAGAUACGGCCCAGACGCCUACGGGAGGCAGCAGUGGGGAAGAUUGCACAAUGGGCGGAAGCCUGAUGCAGCAACGCCGCGUGCGGGAUGACGGCCUUCGGGUUGUAAACCGCGUUCAGCAGGGGCGAAGCUUGUGGUGACGGUACCUGCAGAAGAAGCACCGGCUAACUACGUG